UACGAAGGGAGCUAGCGUUGCUCGGAAUCACUGGGCGUAAAGCGCACGUAGGCGGAUUGUUAAGUCAGGGGUGAAAUCCUGGAGCUCAACUCCAGAACUGCCUUUGAUACUGGCGAUCUCGAGUCCGGGAGAGGUGAGUGGAACUGCGAGUGUAGAGGUGAAAUUCGUAGAUAUUCGCAAGAACACCAGUGGCGAAGGCGGCUCACUGGCCCGGUACUGACGCUGAGGUGCGAAAGCGUGGGGAGCAAACAGG
rnacentral:rRNA from 1 species